rnacentral:rRNA from 1 species
ACGAGUUUGAUCAUGGCUCAGAACGAACGCUGGCGGCAUGCCUAACACAUGCAAGUCGAACGAACCCUUCGGGGUUAGUGGCGCACGGGUGCGUAACGCGUGGGAAUCUGCCCAAAGGUUCGGAAUAACACAGAGAAAUUUGUGCUAAUACCGGAUAAUGUCUUCGGACCAAAGAUUUAUUGCCUUUGGAUGAGCCCGCGUUGGAUUAGCUUGUUGGUGAGGUAACGGCUCACCAAGGCGACGAUCUAUAGCUGGUCUGAGAGGAUGAUCAGCCACACUGGGACUGAGACACGGCCCAGACUCCUACGGGAGGCAGCAGUGGGGAAUAUUGGACAAUGGGCGAAAGCCUGAUCCAGCAAUGCCGCGUGAGUGAUGAAGGCCUUAGGGUUGUAAAGCUCUUUUACCAGGGAUGAUAAUGACAGUACCUGGAGAAUAAGCUCCGGCUAACUCCGUG